rnacentral:rRNA from 1 species
AGGUAGGCAGUGGUUGCCGACCUCCCGCAUUAUUCGAAAUAUUUAUUUCGUAUAAUGUUUAUAUUGGUUACAUACAAUAAAGUAUAUUAUUAUCCGUACAAAUUUGUUUCUCAGUUCUAUAGAACACGGGACUUGGCUCCGCGGAUAAUAGGAAUAUACGCUUUAUAGAUAAUAUCGUUGAA